rnacentral:rRNA from 1 species
AACGAACGCUGGCGGCAGGCCUAACACAUGCAAGUCGAACGCACCGCAAGGUGAGUGGCGCACGGGUGAGUAACACGUGGGAAUGUACCCUUUGGUUCGGAAUAACGUCUGGAAACGGACGCUAAUACCGGAUGAGCCCUGCGGGGGAAAGAUUUAUCGCCAAAGGAGCAGCCCGCGUCUGAUUAGCUAGUUGGUGGGGUAAAGGCCUACCAAGGCGACGAUCAGUGGCUGGUCUGAGAGGAUGAUCAGCCACACUGGGACUGAGACACGGCCCAGACUCCUACGGGAGGCAGCAGUGGGGAAUAUUGGACAAUGGGCGAAAGCCUGAUCCAGCCAUGCCGCGUGAGUGAUGAAGGCCUUCGGGUUGUAAAGCUCUUUCGCACGCGACGAUGAUGACGGUAGCGUGAGAAGAAGCCCCGGCUAACUUCGUGCCAGCAGCCGCAGUAAUAC